rnacentral:rRNA from 1 species
UACGUAGGGUGCGAGCGUUAAUCGGAAUUACUGGGCGUAAAGCGUGCGCAGGCGGUUUUGUAAGCCAGAUGUGAAAUCCCCGGGCUCAACCUGGGAAUGGCAUUUGGGACUGCAAGGCUGGAGUGCGGCAGAGGAGACUGGAAUUCCUGGUGUAGCAGUGAAAUGCGUAGAUAUCAGGAGGAAUACCGAUGGCGAAGGCAGGUCUCUGGGC